rnacentral:rRNA from 1 species
ACAUGCAAGUCGAGCGAAUGACGAGGAGCUUGCUCCUCUGAUUUAGCGGCGGACGGGUGAGUAACACGUGGGUAAUCUGCCUGUAAGACGGGGAUAACUCCGGGAAACCGGGGCUAAUACCGGAUAAUAAGAAGAAACGCAUGUUUCUUUUUUGAAAGUCGGUUUCGGCUGACACUUACAGAUGAGCCCGCGGCGCAUUAGCUAGUUGGUGAGGUAACGGCUCACCAAGGCGACGAUGCGUAGCCGACCUGAGAG